rnacentral:rRNA from 1 species
ACGUACACUCCUACGGGAGGCAGCAGUGGGGAAUAUUGGACAAUGGGCGCAAGCCUGAUCCAGCCAUGCCGCGUGAGUGAUGAAGGCCCUAGGGUUGUAAAGCUCUUUCACCGGUGAAGAUAAUGACGGUAACCGGAGAAGAAGCCCCGGCUAACUUCGUGCCAGCAGCCGCGGUAAUACGAAGGGGGCUAGCGUUGUUCGGAUUUACUGGGCGUAAAGCGCACGUAGGCGGACUAUCAAGUCAGGGGUGAAAUCCCGGGGCUCAACCCCGGAACUGCCUUUGAUACUGGUAGUCUUGAGUUCGAGAGAGGUGAGUGGAAUUCCGAGUGUAGAGGUGAAAUUCGUAGAUAUUCGGAGGAACACCAGUGGCGAAGGCGGCUCACUGGCUCGAUACUGACGCUGAGGUGCGAAAGCGUGGGGAGCAAACAGGAUUAGAAACCCGGGUAGUCCCA